AAAAUACAGAGUGUGUGUCUAUAUAUACAUGUAUAUAUAUGUAGUAUAUAUCUUAUUCUAUAAGCCAGAAGUGGUAGACACAGGAACUUGGGAGCAAGAAUGAUUUCCUUCAAGAAAAUGAUUCAGUGACUGCUUUCUCCCCUGUACAGUUCCAUGCCUUGAUGAAAUAAUGCUAUUUCUUGUUCUAAAAAAAUAGAGCACAGGAAAUGUCAUUUUGCAACCCAGUUAAAUAUUCUUUAUGUGAAAUUUAUUUAUUCUUAAUUAUUUAUUCCUUUCAUUUAUCUUUCCCACUUUUUUCUCGACAAGAUGUGGUUUGAUGCAUUUGAUUUUUAUUUUCUUCCUGAAUUGUUGUCUUUACACCACUGAAUUAAUCUUUCUGUCCCUGACUUAAAAUACUGUCUUUAUCGUGGAUUAAAUUAUCAUUUGCAGUGGCUUCGCUUUUUGUCCGCUCAGCCUCUUCCCCACAUCCUUCCAGAAAGGGAAGCUGAUCCCUCCAGGGCUGGCACAUUCCCUGGCAGGCCAGUCACAGUUCAGUUGUUCCUGGGAGGGACACUUAAUCCAGAGGCCAGUGAGAGUCGGGGGAGUUCCAGCCAGGGCUUCUGGUGGACGUCACGGAGCAGUGGUUGGCUGGUUUGGAUCGCAGAGGUUGGUUAUCCAAGUUUUCUCCUGUUUGCAGUCAGUCCUGACUCACGGCUUGUAAGUACUCUGAUUCUGGGUUUGUUUUCUGUUUUACUGACCUGUAAUUGUACUGAACAAGAUCAUGUUUUCAUUGGUCUUUUUAUUUUUUAAGAUUUUAUGUAUUUGAGAGCUCACAAGCAGGGGGAGCAGCAGAGAGAGAGGGAGAAGCAGGCUCCCGCUGAGCAGUGAGUCCAAUGAGGGACUCGUUCCACGGACCGACUGAGCCCCCCAGCCUCCUCCUUCCCAGGUGUGUCAGUCUGCCGCUCACCAUGACAGCCAUUCCUGGCCCCUGCUGGCUUAUAGCCGGGACCUGGGUCUUUGCAUGCUUGUGGCACAAGCUGUCUGGGAAGCUGCACAGACCUGUGACUGACGGGAGUCCAGGAGACCAGGGGAAGCCGCACAGCCCUCCUCCAGACAGUGGUCCAGCUGGGACACCCACUCUGCAGCUGAGAACGAGGUCACUCGGCCCUGACCCAGGGACUUGCCUACACCACAGGCCGUCACCACGUGGCAGCUGAUCCGAGGUGUGUGGGGUGGGGGGUGGCAGGUGUAAGUCGGGAGCUCUGCGGCUGCACAGUGUGCCUCCCUCACCAUGCCUCCCCUGUUUUGGACGACAGUCCCGAGUCCUGCAGAGGUCACCCACUCAUUAGUUGUUUCUACCAGGGGCGGGGGUGGGGGGGUGGAACCCAGAACCCUUCAUUUCCCGCCUCUGCCACACCUCCUGUCAGUUCUUGAGCACGUCCCACUGACCAGGGUUCCGUGCUGUGAGCACUCCUGAGCAGCCCUGGUGCCAUCUGGUGGAGAAGAAUAUUUAGAAAUCAAGAUCUGAGCACAUACUUUCCUAAAGAUAAAAAUACUACAUACUUUUUUAGGAACUUAAAAUUUGUAAACUGUGCUAGUAUUUUUUUGUUAGGAUUGCUGUGGAUUCUGCUAGAUCUCUGGUUACGUUACAGAAGUUUCCAGUGGGCCGCCCUCUCUCUUCCCACGACGUACUGUUGGCUUGUAGCAUGAGCAUGAGGUUUGAGAGGGACACAGUCAUUGCAGUUUAGAAGAAAUGACGGCGGUUCCCUUUUUGUGGGCUAAUUGUGUAUCAGCGUCUGACCGGCUGCCAGGAUAGAAGAUUACUAUCUCAUGUACAAUUCCAGUCUAACAGGUGGUCUCCGGGAGGUAGGGUAGCCCCUUCCAGGUGGUUCUCCAGAGGGAAAGGGUCCCCUUUAUCCAGUUGCUUCUCUGUCCCCUAGAAAGGAGUCAGCAAGAGACAGUCGUGGGCCACCUUUGGCACCGGCCUCUUUCAUACGGCAUGUAAGCCACAAAUGCGCUUACAUUUGCAAGUAGUUUUACAGCAUAUGAAAUUCAAUGAGACUGAAAUUUUUGUCCCAUGUCAGGUUUAUUGGGACAGGUGCUUUCACGCUAGAGGCAGGGCUCAGCGGUGGCAGAGGCUGUGCCCACAAAGCCCGAAGUGCUCCCAGCUGGCCCCUCCCAGGGCCCAUUGGCCAAGCCCAGCCCUCAAGUGUUGUCCUUGUUCUCAGGGUAGAAGCUGGCUCGGCACCAUGGUUCUUUCACAGCCGAAGGAGGGAGAAAGGCAGUGAAGGAGACAGUCCUCUUUUAGAAUGUGACUCAGACGAUGACACAUCACCCCACUCAUGCCCCAUGAACCUAACCUCAGCUAGCCGAAGCUGGGAUGUCAGAGCUGCUGUGGGGUGCCCGGAGCAGCGCAGGCUGGCCCACUCGACGAGCUACGUGCAGAUACAGGCUCCGCACCUCCCUGCUGGACAGCAAGCACCCCACUGCUUCAUCUGCGUUUCGCUCACCUCUUCCUGGACCUAGACAGUCUUGCACGUCGUGCUGACAGCAUUGCUCUGUGCACACAUCCAUGUGUGUACAGAAUGUCUCUGGGACACAAAAGCACAUCAGCAGUACCACUCCACAAGGCACACACAUGAAUUUUAAAAGGUAUCUCCAGGUCAGUUUACCCAUUUCCGUACUGAUGGUACACGCCGCUGUCGUCAGUGUAAGGGGUACUUCACUGGUUUACAAACGUGCGUUAUUUCUGGUGACAGAGGAUUCUAAGCACUGCCCUUUCUUGCUACUUUGCUGGAUAUCCUCAUGUAUUCUAAUUACUGGUCUUUAGGUUAAACAAUUUUGCUUUAUAGCCGGCAGAUUUUUCUGUACCUUUCUGUUUGGAAUCACAAGAGCCCCUUUUAAUUUCAUUUUUUUAAUCUGAAAAAGUUUUUAAUUCAUAAUUUUCUUCCCAUCCUGUCUUAAGAACCCCACGAUAUGGGUAGGAUGGCUGUGGUGUUCUGGUCUCAGUGUUUCAUUUUUCACACGCAUCUCUUCUUUUCUUGGUCUGACAUCCCUGGCCAACCACUCCUCUCCUCACACUGCCCACCGACUGGUUUUAUGGCUGGGUUCCCGCCCUGUGCCCUACCUCUUUUGGAGUAACUCUUCCCGCUUCAUAUAACCAAUAAACCCUUCUGUAAGGAUAUCUUGUAAGACAAUUCUGAAAUCUGGAUUUCUAUAUCCCAUUAAGGUUGCCAGUUAUGGAGACGUCUGGUGUGCUCUUAGUGACUCCUUCUGUGUUUGUUUUUCCCAGCAUUAAUUUUCACGUGGAUUCUGCAAAUCAAGGACAGGAUGGGUGGCAGGGAAAGGUCUAAUCCCUAGUUCCUGCACCUCAGGAUGGCUUCAGCAGACCCAUGGAGAAAGCCUGCCCCCGACUAGGAGGAACCCCCUUCCUGAUGGAUCCUCUCCUCUCAGCAUGUUAAUUCACCACUGAAGGGUCCUCCUCCAUCCAGAAACCCGUGUCUACUUACUGUAAGGAUUUGGCCAUGGCGUGAGAAGAGGCUGCUCCGGGCAGGUGUGUGUUGGGUGCCCCCCACCCCCCUCAGAUGGAUGGAGCCUGUGCCUGCUGUUGCAUGAAGAUACUGUGCUGGGCCAGAAGGUGCUGGGGACACAACCGUGCAGGGCAGGAGAGUGGAGGAGAUUUCCAAGCCCCAGGUUCCCCAGCGCCUGCCUCGCCAGUGUCUCUGGCUGCUCACACCUUCCCCAGGAGCCCUCCACUGCAGCCCCCUGGCCCCACGAACUGCUCUUCUAUGGCAGCCCCAGGGCUGGGCUCUGUCCGUUGGGCUGGAGUCAGCAGCCCAUGCUACGUCAUCUGUUUGUCAAGAAUCCUAGGCUUUUAAGUUCAGGGAAGGGAAAAGCGAUUUAUCUGUGAUGUAGUUAUCUCUGUGAUGAGAAGGAAAAGGACUUUGCUUGUCCUAUUUGCAGGCAUUCUAUAAAGUGGGUCGUUCUCGGGGCUGUAGUCGUGGGGGGGGGGGGGGGCUGGCGGCACAGCACGGCCAGGCACACGGCCACAGAAGAUUGGUGGGGUCUCUGAAAGGAUGGGGUCCUGGUGCUGACAGCAGUCUUUGAUUUGACCUAUCGGAAGCUGCUUCACUGACUCGACAGAAAAAACUGUGGGAAUCUCACGUGUCCACUGGCCAGGAAGGGUCUUCCUUCCCUGGAAAACGCUUCUCAGAGUUCAUGAGGUCACUGUGUGUGAUGCACACGCACUACUGCUCUGCCCCAUUCCACGUUUGGUCCUCGCUGCGGGACUGACGCAGAUGUCCCUCUAGUGCUCUGCCUCAGACUCAGGCCUGAGUAUCUUACAUGCUUGCCAGGAACAGUUAGAAAUUUUUUAAACAUUGUAUUCCAUCAAAUUUAAGACAAACUAUUAUUUUAAGUGCCUCUAGGGAAGAAGAAAAACAGGGUCAUUAAAGCAGCAGCAGCCACUGAGCCCACACAGAGACGUGAC